AGAGUUUGAUCCUGGCUCAGGACGAACGCUGGCGGCGUGCCUAAUACAUGCAAGUGGAACGCAUGAUUGAUACCGGAGCUUGCUCCACCAUUAAUCAUGAGUCGCGAACGGGUGAGUAACGCGUAGGUAACCUACCUCAUAGCGGGGGAUAACUAUUGGAAACGAUAGCUAAUACCGCAUAACAGUAUUUAUCACAUGGUAAAUGCUUGAAAGGAGCAAUUGCUUCACUAUGAGAUGGACCUGCGUUGUAUUAGCUAGUUGGUGGGGUAACGGCUCACCAAGGCAUCGAUACAUAGCCGACCUGAGAGGGUGAUCGGCCACACUGGGACUGAGACACGGCCCAGACUCCUACGGGAGGCAGCAGUAGGGAAUCUUCGGCAAUGGGGGGAACCCUGACCGAGCAACGCCGCGUGAGUGAAGAAGGUUUUCGGAUCGUAAAGCUCUGUUGUAAGAGAAGAACGUGUGUGAGAGUGGAAAGUUCACACAGUGACGGUAACUUACCAGAAAGGGACGGCUAACUACGUGCCAGCAGCCGCGGUAAUACGUAGGUCCCGAGCGUUGUCCGGAUUUAUUGGGCGUAAAGCGAGCGCAGGCGGUUGUAUAAGUCUGAAGUAAAAGGCAGUGGCUCAACCAUUGUGUGCUUUGGAAACUGUCCAACUUGAGUGCAGAAGGGGAGAGUGGAAUUCCAUGUGUAGCGGUGAAAUGCGUAGAUAUAUGGAGGAACACCGGUGGCGAAAGCGGCUCUCUGGUCUGUAACUGACGCUGAGGCUCGAAAGCGUGGGGAGCAAACAGGAUUAGAUACCCUGGUAGUCCACGCCGUAAACGAUGAGUGCUAGGUGUUGGGUCCUUUCCGGGACUCAGUGCCGCAGCUAACGCAUUAAGCACUCCGCCUGGGGAGUACGACCGCAAGGUUGAAACUCAAAGGAAUUGACGGGGGCCCGCACAAGCGGUGGAGCAUGUGGUUUAA
rnacentral:rRNA from 1 species